UCACGUUGUAUCUUUUGAAGAUUAAGAAUAAGCCAAGUGCCAGUUGAAAUAUCGUAUCCAUGAACUGAGCAAUCUUCAAUGGCUUCAUGGAUUACAGCGAGUGGAGCAGCAGGAUAGAGGCGUAGUGUUUCUUUAAUGACAGAUUGGAGGUACACCAAGUUUUUAGUAUCUGAUUCUGUAACUAAGAGUCUAUCUUUACCAACAUGAAUGUCUAAUUCUUGUUUGACCUUGUUCAAUGCAUCGCGAUUAUUGAGUAAUAAAGAUAAAGCCCAUGUCAUUGUAAUUGAUGUGGUAUCUUCCGCAGCUAAGAUAAGUGCCUAUUAAAUCAUUUACCGUAAAACUAUUAAUAUCAGAUUGAAAUUGGUAUUCAGGCGAAUGAUGAAUAUAAAUAUCAAACAAAUAUAGGAUUUGAUUAAGAAAUGUACGUACGAGACUGACGGCUUUGUUGAUGGUAUCGGCAUCGUGCUCCUCUGCAUCACGAAGAAUAGAUAGCAUCACUCCCAUGAAAUCUUCCUCACUGUUUGCCUCAUUUUCAGCUCUCUUUUCUUUGUGCUCUCGUAGCCAUUCCUCCACAACUUGGUCCAAUUCUUUGGCUACCUUCUUCAUAAGCUUUUUGUCGCCACCAAAGUCCGACCAUCUCAGAUACGGUAAGGCAUCCGAUACCACGAACUUUCCAGUUAGUUCAAACAAGUCGUCCAACGACUUCUUCCAUUUCACGGUUUCAUCUCCUUCGUAUGAAUUCGGUAUUCGCUUCCCUACAACAAUCCUUAGUAUCACGUUAAGAGUAACAUCUCUGAACCAUCUCUUCAUCUCCACAAUUACUUUGCCACAGUUACUACUUUUCUUCUUGUUCCACAUCUGGUAUAAUUGUUGCAGUGAUGCCUUCACCUCGGAUUCCCGCACAGGUUUAAGCAAUUCGAGUCGGUGAUUUGAGAGGAGCUCAAUAGUGGCGAAUUUGCGCACUUGACGCCAAUAAGGUCCAUACGGUGCAAAGGCUAUCAUGGCAGAGUUGUAACCCAAAAUUUCCCAGCUUGCAAGCUUUGGACGAGUGGCAAACGCUUUAUCGUUUAUGGUGAGACAUUCUUUAGCUAUCUCCCAAUUGCUCACCACCAAAGCUCUAUGCACACCCAACCUGAUGGUGAAGAUUCCUCCAUAUUUGUCUGCCAGGUUACCCAAGCUUAUAUGAGGUGGUUGUGGCCCUCCUAAGAGGCGGAGAUGACCAAUAAUAGGCCAUGCUCCACCAGCUUCUGGUGCUGUUUUCUUCAAGUUUGUGUUUCUUCUUGAGAUCCAUAGGAAAGAGAAAAGAAAC
rnacentral:lncRNA from 1 species